UUUACCGUCUAAUAUGACGGACGGUAUUAAGUGGUCAUAAAAAAAACACGACCCACCCACCUUAUUUCCAACCCUAUCUCUAUCUCUAUCUAUCCGUCUUCGUCUUCAAUUCCUUUAGUAAUUUUUGUUUUUUGAUUGAAUUCUUUGAAGCUAUGGCGAAACGGUGGAUGUUAAGCCGCACUUUCUCUGAUUUGAAGGAGGUAUUCGUUUUAGGGUUGUUUCAGAUCUAGUUUUUUUUGUUAAUUUCUCAAUUCUCCUUCAAAACCCCAUAUAUAUCCUCUCUUUUUUUCGAUUUUUAUUUUCUAAUCCUUUUUUCGUGUGCUUUUUCGUUUCCUCGAUUUUUAUUUAUCCUCUCUCUUUUUCGAUUUUUGUUUCAGAUCUGGUUUUUUCUUGAUUUUUUCGUUGGUUUUUUGUCCUAAUUAUUUCGAGGUUUUUUCUUCUUCUCAUCAGAUUUGUGGUUUUUUGUGGAUUAUAUAUGAUUUUGUGUUGAAUUUUUAAUCUGCUUAGUCCAUUAGACAUCUAAGCUUUUGCAGCAGAACUCCUUUGUUUUUGUUCUUGAUUUUAUCUUAGAAGUUGCAUAAGCAAUUGAAGUAUUCUCUGCAAAAUAGGAACAUUGCAGUUACUGUUUACACAUUAUCUGAAUGUAAAUGUUGCUAAGUAGCUUUGUAAAUGUUGAUUUAGGUGGAAUGAGAAGGUUUUGUCAAUGUCUGUAGUUUGGUGACAGGGGAUGGUGGGGCUUAGUGGAUGAGUUUGCUUGCAUAUAGUUAAAUUUGUUCAGAUUAAUUGGCCAAUUUUAUCGGCCAUCUUCUCAUCAACACAAGUUACCUGAGUAUAUGUUUAUGUUAUUACUCGUGAAAAUACUCUAUAAUUGUUUUGCCAUGCAUCUUUCUUUUGCAUUAAUAGAAAUCAUUUUAUUCCUUGCUUAUCUUUGUCUCUUCUUUUGCUUGUGUGGAUUUUAGACUUGUAAUUUUUUAUUGCUGCAUGUGUCUUUGCUAAUUAAUGCAGAUUAUGAGUUUCGACAUGUUUUAACCAUAUUCUAUUUAAUAAUCUGUAUUGACUUGAUAUAGGCUGGGUGAGUUGCUGAGGUUGCUUGCAUCUUCACCUCCUCUGGCCUGCUAGUAGCAGGGUUCCGCAGUAGGUGCUUUUGCUGUGCUUGAUCAUUGUUGCUGACUGCUGUAUUUUCAGUAUGUGAGAGGUUUGGGGAUAUUCAUUUCUUGGGUUAUGAGAUUUGCGUUUGAGUUCCAGAUUUGAAGUUGGUUACGAUCCAGAUACCAGAUUUGAAGUCCGUUUUGGUUCUAGAUUUUGUUGUGGAGUUUAAAGUGUACAUGUGAUUA